rnacentral:rRNA from 1 species
AGGGAGUUUGAUCCUGGCUCAGGAUGAACGCUAGCGGCAGGCUUAACACAUGCAAGUCGAGGGGCAGCGGGUCCAGCAAUGGAUGCCGGCGACCGGCGCAAGGGUGCGUAACGCGUGAGUGACAUGCCCGUGACCGGGGGAUAACCGAUGGAAACGUCGCCUAACCCCCCAUACGACAAGGGACCGCAUGAUCCCCUGUUGAAAACCCUGGUGGUCACGGAUUGGCUCGCGUCCCAUUAGCUAGUCGGCGGGGUAACGGCCCACCGAGGCGACGAUGGGUAGGGGUUCUGAGAGGAAGGUCCCCCACAAUGGAACUGAGACACGGUCCAUACUCCUACGGGAGGCAGCAGUGAGGAAUAUUGGUCAAUGGGCGGAAGCCUGAACCAGCCAUGCCGCGUGCGGGACGACGGCCCUACGGGUUGUAAACCGCUUUUGUGUGUGAGCAAUAAGGCGGCCUCGCGCCGCUGAUGAGAGUAGCAUACGAAUAAGCAUCGGCUAACUCCGUGCCAGCAGCCGCGGUAAUACGGAGGAUGCGAGCGUUAUCCGGAUUCAUUGGGUUUAAAGGGUGCGUAGGCUGUGCGUUAAGUCAGGGGUGAAAUACCGUCGCUCAACGUCGGGGCUGCCCUUGAUACUGGCGUGCUGGAGUGCGGAUGCCGCCGGAGGAAUGAGUGGUGUAGCGGUGAAAUGCUUAGAUAUCACUCAGAACACCGAUUGCGAAGGCAUCUGGCGAAUCCGUAACUGACGCUGAGGCACGAAAGCGUGGGGAUAGAACAGGAUUAGAUACCCUGGUAGUCCCCU